rnacentral:lncRNA from 1 species
CAAAAAGUCCUACUACUUCCCAUCAUGCCAUCAUCUAAGGAGGCCUUCUUCUUAAGCAAGCUUGUUGUUUUCAAUGAAACAUUUGCUCCGAUCCAGAAGAAAGCUCGUUAUAAAGCCUAUUGCUCACUUUGGCAUGAAGCCAUACAGGGCCGAAAUACAGAUUCAAUCAUUGACUCUUUAUAUACGGUUGUCGAAAAUGAACAAGAUGUGAAAUGUUUCGUUUUUUGGCUGACAAUUGUUCAGCCCAAAAUAAAAAUUGGAUUAUAUAUACUGCACUCGUAAAAAUAGUAAACCAACCAGAUAUGUCA